UACAGAGGUCUCAAGCGUUGUUCGGAAUUACUGGGCGUAAAGGGCUCGUAGGCGGCCAACUAAGUCAGACGUGAAAUCCCUCAGCUUAGCUGGGGAACUGCGUCUGAUACUGGAUGGCUUGGAUUCGGGAGAGGAAUGCGGAAUUCCAGGUGUAGCGGUGAAAUGCGUAGAUAUCUGGAGGAACACCGGUGGCGAAGGCGGCAUUCUGGACGGACAUUGACGCUGAGACGCGAAAGCGUGGGGAGCAAACAGG
rnacentral:rRNA from 1 species